GACGAACGCUGGCGGCGUGCCUAAUACAUGCAAGUUGAGCGAUGAAGAUUGGUGCUUGCACCAAUUUGAAGAGCAGCGAACGGGUGAGUAACGCGUGGGGAAUCUGCCUUUGAGCGGGGGACAACAUUUGGAAACGAAUGCUAAUACCGCAUAACAACCUUAAACAUAAGUUUUAAGUUUGAAAGAUGCAAUUGCAUCACUCAAAGAUGAUCCCGCGUUGUAUUAGCUAGUUGGUGAGGUAAAGGCUCACCAAGGCGAUGAUACAUAGCCGACCUGAGAGGGUGAUCGGCCACAUUGGGACUGAGACACGGCCCAAACUCCUACGGGAGGCAGCAGUAGGGAAUCUUCGGCAAUGGACGAAAGUCUGACCGAGCAACGCCGCGUGAGUGAAGAAGGUUUUCGGAUCGUAAAACUCUGUUGGUAGAGAAGAACGUUGGUGAGAGUGGAAAGCUCAUCAAGUGACGGUAACUACCCAGAAAGGGACGGCUAACUACGUG
rnacentral:rRNA from 1 species